GAGGCCCUCACCUUCGGGUGGGGUGUCCUAGUGGCGGACGGGUGAGUAACACGUUGGUGACCUGCCCCAAAGCGGGGGACAACCCUGGGAAACCGGGGCUAAUACCCCAUGUGAUCCAGAGCGUUAGAGGGCUUUGGAUGAAAGGAGCAAUCCACUUUGGGAGGGGCCUGCGGCCUAUCAGCUAGUUGGUGGGGUAAUGGCCUACCAAGGCGACGACGGGUAGGGGGCCUGAGAGGGUGGCCCCCCACACUGGAACUGAAACACGGACCAGACACCUACGGGUGGCAGCAGUGGGGAAUCUUGCACAAUGGGCGAAAGCCUGAUGCAGCAACGCCGCGUGCGCGAUGAAGGCCUUCGGGUUGUAAAGCGCUUUUCUGGGGGAAGAGUAAGGACGGUACCCCAGGAAUAAGUCUCGGCUAACUACGUGCCA
rnacentral:rRNA from 1 species